rnacentral:lncRNA from 1 species
GAGUGGCAGAGUCUGUUAAUUGUUCCUGGUAUCUUUUCUCUGCCUCUUUCCCCUGAGUUUUAGCUGAUCCCCAGUCACUCAGCCAAAGACUACCUUUCCCAGGCUUCCUUGCAGCUAAGUGUGGCCCUGAAACUAGGUUCUGGCCAAUGGGAGCUGAGAUAAGUUGAAGUGUACAAUUUUCAGAUCAUGCUAUUAUAGAAGAAGAAGUAUGCCCUCCAUUCUGCUGGCAGAAGUGUGAGCAUACCACAAGAUGGAAGCCACGUGUGAAGGCAACAGAGCAAGAAGACAGGAUGAGCCUGGGUCCCUUGAGACUUCCCAGGGCAGAGCCACCCACAUUUAAACAAGCAUGGCAGAAUGAUCUUCUCUCGCUUCUGAAUAUCUGUCAGCACACAUCUGUGCCUGUGUGUACAAAAACUUCACCUCAUGAGAGCCCCAGAUUUGACAGAAUCAAGUUUGCCUCAUUUUUCAAACAGUGUUAACUCAGUUUAAAAAUACUUUUCUCAUUAUGUUAUUGCAAGGGUCUUUUAUUCCAUCUCAUGCUUUCGUCUAUUUUGGAUCUAACAUUUAUUUAAUUAGAAAUCUAUUAUUGGGGAGGGGGCACAAAUAAAAUUUAGCUACCACUAACCACCCCCUGUCAAA